UUCUGGCUCAGGAUGAACGCUGGCGGCGUGCCUAACACAUGCAAGUCGAGCGAGAAAUCGCUCAAUGAUCUUCGGGUGAUUUGAGCGAUGGAAAGCGGCGGACGGGUGAGUAACGCGUAGGUAACCUGCCCCAUACAGAGGGAUAGCCACUGGAAACGGUGAUUAAUACCUCAUAACACCGGAAUACCGCAUGGUAUACCGGUCAAAGUUUUUCGGUAUGGGAUGGACCUGCGUCUGAUUAGCUGGUUGGUGAGGUAACGGCUCACCAAGGCGACGAUCAGUAGCCGACCUGAGAGGGUGAUCGGCCACAUUGGAACUGAGACACGGUCCAAACUCCUACGGGAGGCAGCAGUGGGGAAUAUUGCACAAUGGGCGCAAGCCUGAAUGCAGCAACGCCGCGUGAACGAAGAAGGCUCUUGGGUCGUAAAGUUCUGUUCUGAGGGAAGAAGAUCUGACGGUACCUCAGGAGAAAGCCCCGGCUAACUACGUGCCAGCAGCGGC
rnacentral:rRNA from 1 species